rnacentral:rRNA from 1 species
GACGAACGCUGGCGGCGUGCUUAACACAUGCAAGUCGAACGGAAAGGCCCUGCUUUUGUGGGGUGCUCGAGUGGCGAACGGGUGAGUAACACGUGAGUAACCUGCCCUUGACUUUGGGAUAACUUCAGGAAACUGGGGCUAAUACCGGAUAGGAGCUCCUGCUGCAUGGUGGGGGUUGGAAAUUUUCGGCGGUUGGGGAUGGACUCGCGGCUUAUCAGCUUGUUGGUGGGGUAGUGGCUUACCAAGGCUUUGACGGGUAGCCGGCCUGAGAGGGUGACCGGCCACAUUGGGACUGAGAUACGGCCCAGACUCCUACGGGAGGCAGCAGUGGGGAAUAUUGCACAAUGGGCGGAAGCCUGAUGCAGAAACGCCGCGUGCGGGAUGACGGCCUUCGGGUUGUAAACCGCUUUCGCCUGUGCCGAAGCGUGAGUGACGGUAAUGGGUAAAGAAGCACCGGCUAACUACGUG